GGCCUGGCGCCUAGGGGGUCUUCGUAGCUGGCAAGGGUACUGUCUCCCCAUCUCAGACCCCCAGCACGAGUGGUGGUCAUGCUGUCUGGGACGGGCAAUGGGACCACUGCGCAUGCGCAGGGCUCGCUCCUCGCGCCUCCCUCUCUGACCUUCUCCAGUUACUUUCCUCCGAUUCCUGUUCUCUCUCUGAUGGCGCCUACUUUCUAUUUAGCUCCUGUGAUUGGAGAAAGGGAUGGAGCACGAGGGUGCAAGGAAAGUGCUUCACACUGCCAUCCAGUGGCUGCAGACGGAACAACAGCCCAGCCUCGACUUUGGACGAACCCUGGCCAAGGAAGCAGUACUGCCAAGGGUAUGUAGAAUAUCAGAAAGGACGUUCUGAAAAGCGCUGGGGAGCCCACAGGCCCAGCAGGGGGCUCACCCAAGUCUGCCUCCCGGACAGUUCUUAAGACUUAGACCAGAGUGCAGCCCAGAGCCAAACCCGAAGUGUGUUUCCAGAAGGCAAACCCAUGUGGGUUUACAUUUCAUGGGGACCAGGCACAGCUGGCUGGACCGUGCCUCCGUGAUCAGACCCAUGACCCCAUUAGGGGUCAGGCUCCAAAAGCUGCCGUCAUCCUCAUGGGGUACCAGGAGAAGCAGAUCCCUCCUUCCCUUGGAGAGCACACAACUCCAGCUGUGAUCCUGCCAGCUGGGCCCCGAGACCCGAGGGUUCACCUGGUUUGGCCCUCCCUGGGCUUCUGUCGGGAGCUUGGGGACCCUGGGGCCAGGGAGCAGAGGGAAAAGCCUGUGUGUGGGGGAACUGCAGGGAUGGGGAUGGCAUCUGAGCUCCACAAGGAGGAAAUGCCGGGACACCAAGGCCGCUUGCUUUCUCUCUUGCCCCCUGACCUCAGACACAGCAGGGCCGGAAGCUCAGCGCUCUGGGGACUGGCUCUGGUUUUUCAUUUUUAUGGAAGAAUGUGGCAGCUGUGGGGUUCCCAAGGGGAUGCGCCCAGCUUGCUGAGUAGGCUGUUCCAUCCUGACCUCUGGCUUGUCCUGGCCGUGCACUGGAGACGCAGACUCUGGGGGAGGAGGCCGGGCAAGGGAACAAGCGUCUGUAGGGCAUCCUGUGCUGUGGGGGGAACUAGCAGUCUCCAUCUCAUUUAAGACACACACCGUCGCGAGGACUCAGCUCAGAGAG
rnacentral:lncRNA from 1 species